rnacentral:rRNA from 1 species
GAUGAACGCUGGCGGCGUGCCUAAUACAUGCAAGUCGAGCGAACGGACGAGAAGCUUGCUUCUCUGAUGUUAGCGGCGGACGGGUGAGUAACACGUGGAUAACCUACCUAUAGGACUGGGAUAACUUCGGGAAACCGUAUCUAAUACCGGAUAAUAUUUUGAACCGCAUGGUUCAAAAGUGAAAGACGGUCUUGCUGUCACUUAUAGAUGUAUCCGCGCUGCAUUAGCUAGUUGGUAAGGUAACGGCUUACCAAGGCAACGAUGCAUAGCCGACCUGAGAGGGUGAUCAGCCACACUGGAACUGAGACACGGUCCAGACUCCUACGGGAGGCAGCAGUAGGGAAUCUUCCGCAAUGGGCGAAAGCCUGAUCGAGCAACGCCGCGUGAGUGAUGAAGGUCUUCGGAUCGUAAAACUCUGUUAUUAGGGAAGAACAGAUGUGUAAGUAACUGUGCACAUCUUGACGGUACCUAAUCAGAAAGCCACGGCUAACUACGUG